rnacentral:misc_RNA from 1 species
AAAUAGUCAGUAUAAAUCCAUCUAAGUAACCGGAUAAACUAAGCAUAAAGAUAUUGAAAUGUACAUUAAAGGCAGUUUAAAUAACUACAAGUUAAAGAUACACAGUCGAUCAACUACCUCAAAGGUAAUAACCAUCGCGUAUUGGUCUUACCACUUAAUACAAUUAUUUAGAUCUAAGAUAGCAGGUCGACAAAAAGCCCAAGGGCAAAAUAAAAAAUAAAGAUAUAACAAGGAUUAAGCGAGAUAAGACCCGCUUGGUAAACAGCUAAAUACUGAUACGCCUGCUGAUGUAUAUGACAUGAAAAACAAUUUGGAG